AAAAACAUUUGGUCUUGUGCCAAAUUGACACCUGUGUGCACCAUUGUCUGUAUUUGGUAGCUCGAGUGCGUCCCGGGAGCUCAACACUCCCGUUCGGGGCGCCUAUCCUUGCGGGUUCAUAUCCUCCUGGGAGGCGAUGGCACUUGGGCCGGCGGUUAACUCCGCUGGACGGGCCAUCAGCUGAAAGGGGGGAUCCGCUCGGGUUGGGCUACCGCCAUUUUUUGCAAUAACUUUUGUUUGUUCCUACCAGCCUGAACGAAGAGUUAAUCUUUACUGAUUAAUGAUUUUGAAAA
rnacentral:misc_RNA from 1 species